rnacentral:rRNA from 1 species
CUACGGGCCGCUCCAGUGGGGAAUAUUGGACAAUGGGGGAAACCCUGAUCCAGCAAUGCCGCGUGUGUGAAGAAGGCCUGCGGGUUGUAAAGCACUUUCGGUUGGGAGGACUGCUUCUAGCACUAAUAUUGUUGGAAGUUGACGUUACCUUCAGAAGAAGCACCGGCUAACUCCGUGCCAGCAGCCGCGGUAAUACGGAGGGUGCAAGCGUUAAUCGGAAUUACUGGGCGUAAAGCGCGCGUAGGCGGCUAGAUCAGUCGGGUGUGAAAGCCCCGGGCUUAACCUGGGAACUGCAUCCGAUACUGUCUAGCUUGAGUACAGGAGAGGAGAGUGGAAUUCCAGAUGUAGCGGUGAAAUGCGUAGAUAUGUGGAGGAACACCAAUGGCGAAGGCAGCUCUCUGGCCUGAUACUGACGCUGAGGUGCGAAAGCGUGGGGAGCAAAGAGGAUUAGAUACCCUGGUAGUC